AGCCUGCCCACUGAAUAAUUUUUAAAUGGCCGCAGUAUACUAACUGUGCAAAGGUAGCAUAAUCAUUAGUCUUUUAAUUGAAGGCUGGUAUGAAUGGUUGGACGAGAUAUUAACUGUUUCAUAAAAAUUUAUAAUAGAAUUUUAUUUUUUAGUCAAAAAGCUAAAAUAUAUUUAAAAGACGAGAAGACCCUAUAAAUCUUUAUAUUUAGAUUAUUAUAAUUUUAUAGAUUUUUUUUGUUAUAAUAAUUAAUAAUAUUUUAUUGGGGUGAUAUUAAAAUUUAAUAAACUUUUAAUUUUUAAAAUCAUUAAUUUAUGAAUAAUUGAUCCGUUAUUAGCGAUUAAAAAAAUAAGUUACUUUAGGGAUAACAGCGUAAUUUUUUUGGAGAGUUCAUAUCGAUAAAAAAGAUUGCGACCUCGAUGUUGGAUUAAGAUAUAAUUUUAGGUGUAGCCGCUUAAAUUUUAAGUCUGUUCGACUUUUAAAUUCUUACAUGAUCUGAGUUCAAACCGGCGUAAGCCAGGUUGGUUUCUAUCUUUAAAAA
rnacentral:rRNA from 2 species